rnacentral:tRNA from 1 species
UAUAUUUUAGUGUAAGAUGCACGGUAGUUUUUGAUACUGUUAGUUUCAGUUUAAUUCUGUAAAAUAUAA